UGUGCGUCGUUGUCAAGGCAACGUCACUAGUCCGGGGCUGGCCCGGGGCCUCCCGGUGAAGAUGGACAGCCUGGAACGACUAACCGUCCGCACCGGACGGACCAGCUCACCCUUCCUUCCGACCGAGGGGAGAUUAGAACGUGAAAUCUAGAACAUGAACACUUAAGAAAAGCAGAUUCCAUGGCAGGUGAAUCCAGAUCAUUCUUGAGCGAAUAUAUUACCUGACUUCAUAGACCCAGCUCUGGACUGAAGCUUUGUUUGGAGCAAAAAGAUGGGUUGUUUCCACCUUCCCUGCAUGCUGAGUCGCUU